rnacentral:rRNA from 1 species
CUACGGGUGGCUGCAGUGGGGAAUAUUGCACAAUGGAGGAAACUCUGAUGCAGCAACGCCGCGUGGAGGAUGACACUUUUCGGAGCGUAAACUCCUUUUAUAUAGGAAGAAGAUGACGGUACUAUAUGAAUAAGCGCCGGCUAACUCCGUGCCAGCAGCCGCGGUAAUACGGAGGGCGCAAGCGUUACUCGGAAUCACUGGGCGUAAAGAGCGUGUAGGCGGAUUAAAAAGUCAGAAGUGAAAUCCUAUAGCUUAACUAUAGAACUGCUUCUGAAACUCUUAAUCUAGAAUAUGGGAGAGGUAGAUGGAAUUUCUGUUGUAGUGGUAAAAUCCGUAGAGAUCAGAAGGAAUACCGAUUGCGAAGGCGAUCUACUAGAACAUUAUUGACGCUGAGACGCGAAAGCGUGGGGAGCAAACAGGAUUAGAUACCCCUGUAGUC